UUUUGCUCAGUGAGUCAGUCACUUUCUGUAGUCUACCAGAUGUAGGGCUCUUAGCUGCUUCAGCACCACAUCUGCCUACAUGUCAUCCUGCUUCUCAUCAUGAUGAUAAUAAACUGAACCUCUGAACCUCUAAAUUGGAAGACUCUAGAAGUUAUGAGGCACAUUGAGCUUCCAUCUUUGGUAUAGAACAGAAUGUCUGACACAGGACAGGCAUCAUACCCUGAAGUCUCCAGAACCUUCCAAAGCAGUGACAUCAUCUGGAGAUGGGUGCUACAUUCACAUUUAAACAGUGGCAUCACCUAACUUGGCCCCAGCACUAAAGAACCCACCACGCUCAAUGGCUAGAAUAAUGGUACAUAUUGUUAGCUACUAAGGCCUUACAGUAUGACACCAUGAUGCCAAAGGGAUCCUUCUGCUGUGUGUCACUGAGAAGAGGAAAUCUAAAGCUAAACCAUCUGUGUACUAAAUAAAGAUUAAUUACUACUUGCU
rnacentral:lncRNA from 1 species